ensembl:snoRNA LOC120100374 small nucleolar RNA SNORA42/SNORA80 family
GUACAGGGCUGGGCCCGUAAGGUAAAGCAGUUCUUUAAGAGUCCUGGGGUGUCCCGUGCUAGAGCAAACUGGCUCCUAACCAUUGCCCAGCCUUGGUGCAUGUAGGCUGCUGGCACUGAAGUGGGUCACACAGUG